UUCAUAUCAAAAUCUUUAUGCAGGUUGUUUCUUAAACCCAUUAAACAUAAUGAUCGGACGUCAUCUCCCAAUUUUGAAUUCCCUGUAUUUGAAGCGGACGAAGAUGAUGUUGAAGGGAUUCCUGACGAGAUUUCCCAACUUCUUGAGCAAGAAAAGAAGAUCACUCAGCUGCAUCUCGAGAAUCAGCAGAACAGCCAAC
rnacentral:lncRNA from 1 species